CGGAUCUUCCAGAGAUUAGAGUUUGAUCCUGGCUCAGAUUGAACGCUGGCGGCAGGCCUAACACAUGCAAGUCGAACGGUAACAGGAAGCAGCUUGCUGCUUCGCUGACGAGUGGCGGACGGGUGAGUAAUGUCUGGGAAACUGCCUGAUGGAGGGGGAUAACUACUGGAAACGGUAGCUAAUACCGCAUAACGUCGCAAGACCAAGGAGGGGGACCUUCGAGCCUCUUGCCAUCGGAUGUGUCCAGAUGGGAUUAGCUAGUAGGUGGGGUAACGGCUCACCUAGGCGACGAUCCCUAGCUGGUCUGAGAGGAUGACCAGCCACACUGGAACUGAGACACGGUCCAGACUCCUACGGGAGGCAGCAGUGGGGAAUAUUGCACAAUGGGCGCAAGCCUGAUGCAGCCAUGCCGCGUGUAUGAAGAAGGCCUUCGGGUUGUAAAGUACUUUCAGCGGGGAGGAAGGGAGUAAAGUUAAUACCUUUGCUCAUUGACGUUACCCGCAGAAGAAGCACCGGCUAACUCCGUGCCAGCAGCCGCGGUAAUACGGAGGGUGCAAGCGUUAAUCGGAAUUACUGGGCGUAAAGCGCACGCAGGCGGUUUGUUAAGUCAGAUGUGAAAUCCCCGGGCUCAACCUGGGAACUGCAUCUGAUACUGGCAAG
rnacentral:rRNA from 1 species